rnacentral:lncRNA from 13 species
UCAUAGUUACACCCACUGCGACCACAGCCACCCACUCACAGUGUGGUCUUUUCUCCUGUGGUCUUCUUCAAGGGUCACAGGGACCACUGCAGAACAAGAGUAGUGAACCCAGGGAAAUGUUCAUGUUCUAUCCCCUCAUCAUGCCUGGUUGCUAGCCCUCUAUUGCCCAGGGUGUGGUGGGGCAGGUAAAAUACUCUAAAGGAAAUUAGACAUCUCAGAGGACCAUGCUUUGAGAGUGGAGAUGUGGGAGAGUGAGAAAGAGCAGUGCUUGCCAUGAGUCAUCUCCAGUUCUUGUUGGUAAAGGUAAUUCUAAGAUUCUAAUUCUAAGACUCUCUAAGGAAGACUAGAACUCAGGGGAUGCAGCCUCUGUUGAUGGUAGUGUCCGUGUAUAUCUAGCCUUGGGUUUUGUGGACAAAGACAUGAAGGCCAGCUGCCCUCCUUAGAACCUGAGUUUUUGUUUUGUUUUGAGAUGGAGUUUCACUCUUGUUGCCCGGGCUGCAGUGGAAUGGCAUGAUCUCAGCUCACCGCAACUUCUACCUUCCAGGUUCAAGCAAUUAUCCUGUCCCAGCCUCCCAAGUAGCUGGGAUUACAGGCAUGUUCCACUAUACCCAGCUAAUUUUGUAUUUUUAGUAGAGAUGGGGUUUCUCCAUGUUGGUCAGGAUGGUCUCGAACUCCCAGCCUCAGGUGAUCCACUCACCUCGGCCUCUCAAAGAGCUGGGAUAACAGGUGUGAGCCACCACGCCCAACUUUACCUGAGUUUUUGGAGUUCAUCCUCCUCUCCAAGUGACGGGCCUGCUGUGGAGGAUUCUGGAGUCCAGGUUCUCAGCAAUCUUCAGCUGACAUCACCUUUAUUGAAAAGGAACUGUCAGGGACACUGUUCUGUGGGGCCACAGAUAAUUUUAAGCUUGAGCAAAGAACCAGGCCUCCCAACACAAUGUAAAGAAGGGAGGCACCAUGUGGAGGGAAGAUGGCAUACGUGGCACAGACCUCCCCCUCUGCUCACCACCACAGAAGAGCACUCCUGCAUGGGCAGGCAAUGGCAGCAUCAGGAAGGGAAUUCACAUUUGCUUAGGUUGUUAGUCAUUAGUAAUUGUAAUGGUCUUGUGCUUUCAUUUAAAAAAGAAUGACCAAAAAAAUAAAAAACAAAAAUGCAAAACCUGAUAUUGCA